rnacentral:rRNA from 1 species
UACGAAGGGGGCUAGCGUUGUUCGGAAUUACUGGGCGUAAAGGGCGCGUAGGCGGUGUGUCAAGUCAGGCGUGAAAGCCCUGGGCUCAACCUGGGAGUGGCGCUUGAUACUGGAGGACUAGAGAGUGGGAGAGGUUGGUGGAAUUCCCAGUGUAGAGGUGAAAUUCGUAGAUAUUGGGAAGAACACCGGUGGCGAAGGCGGCCAACUGGACCAUUUCUGACGCUGAGGCGCGAAAGCGUGGGGAGCAAACAGG